ACAGCAGCCGCCGCGGUAAUACGGAGGGGGCAAGCGUUGUCCGGAAUUAUUGGGCGUAAAGGGCUUGCAGGCGGUUUCUUAAGUCUGAUGUGAAAGCCCCCGGCUCAACCGGGGAGGGUCAUUGGAAACUGGGAAACUUGAGUGCAGAAGAGGAGAGUGGAGUUCCACGUGUAGCGGUGAAAUGCGUAGAGAUGUGGAGGAACACCAGUGGCGAAGGCGACUCUCUGGUCUGUAACUGACGCUGAGGAGCGAAAGCGUGGGGAGCGAACAGGAUUAGAUACCCCCGUAGUCCCUGUCUCUUAUAC
rnacentral:rRNA from 1 species